GAACUGUCAGUGCUGAAAUGCUCUCAGGCAUCCUCUACGCCACAGCCUCUACCUGAAACACAAGACAUCUGGAGCCCAGAGGAAAUUAGUCUUCAUGUGUCUUCACUGGCCUGUGCUAAUUCUCAGACUUUCCUUGUUUUCGAUGGCCUUCACAGUUUUGAGGAGGAAUGGUCAGGUGUUUUGUUGAGUGUCCCUCAAUAUAGGCACCUUUUGUUCUUUUAAAUAAGUAAUGAAGAUCCUGUAACUGAAGACUUUGUGAAUGAAAGAAAAAUGAAUAACUGAAGAUGACUGAGCUCUCAAGUUACUGAUAAUCAACCUCUUAAGAUGAAGCACAGAUUUGUGUCCAUGUGGCUUCCAGAUUGAUUGAAGAGUUGCCGCUAUGAUGAUUUACUAUUCGUCUGUUCUUUGAAUCUUGAAAUCAACAUUCAAGCAUACAAAUGCUUUUUGGAAGUUCAUUCCUCCCAGAUGACCAGAGGGGGAGACAACUUUAGGUCACCCGUCAUAGAAGUGGCCUGAGUCACAUUAUAAUUCACUCAGGAAGUAAUUUGACGGACAGUCAGAAAUGUAAAUUCUUAUGAUGGAUAAAAAGUUGCUUGACAUAUCACAGUAUCCACGUUUCUGGGGAAGAUAAAUGACCAGAAGUAUACCCACCGGUUCCUGGGAAGUGUCCACCGGUUUGACAGAUCACCCAGACCUUGUAAAGAACACAAUGAUCAUCACAGAAAUGAAGUUUAAGAUUCUUUUGGAAAUGAACACUGAAAGCAGAUAUUGAAGACUCCCGGAUGAGACUCGCAUUUGGAAUUAAAAUGAUCAGUCUGCUGCAGAUGCAGACAGCCGUAAACAUUUGACAUUUUAAAAAAGGCACCUGCCACUUUGAGAAUGCACUACACGUUUCUGGUUCCUCCUUUAGGAUGUGUGCCUUAUAAAUAGAGCCCAAGACCAAGAUUCUUAUGAAAAUGAUUUACUUGAGAAGACAGCCAUCUAUAAACCAAGAAGUGGGCUCUCACCAGACACUGAAUCCUCCAAAGACUUGAUUUUUGACUUCCCAGCCUCCAGAACUGUGAGAAAUAAAUUUGUAUGUCUACAAGCUACCCAGUCCAAAAACAUUUUUAGUAUAGCAGUCUGAAGGAACUAAGACACAAAAUGGAAAGCUAUUAGACAUAAAAUUCAUAUAACUAAAAGGAACCUCAGGAGGUCACCUUAGCUCAAGACUGUCCUUCGCAUUACUUUAUAAAUUUUAAUAUGAUCUUGUUAUUCUAUAGAAAAUGUUUCUGGAAUUUCAAUAAGAACUAUAUUAUCUGUGUAUCAGAUUGUGGAAAACUGACAUCUUUGCUAUGUUGAUUCUUCAAAUCCAAGAACAUGGAAUGAAAGAUUAUGGUGGAAGAGAAGUCAAGAAUAAUACCACAAUUUGUUAAUUUGUAUUGGUGCCAUAUGAUGUCUCAUUAACUUCUCGUUAUAAGAUUGCCAAGCAGACAUUAAAAUUGUGACAGCACAGAUGAUGGAAGUUCAGGAAGAGGAGGAACUUGCCUACACUGCCAGGGAAUGGUGGGAUCAGAUCCACAUCCAGAGAGUAACACAAGCACAGGCGAAGGUCAACAGUGGUAUAACUUCUGAAGGAAUUCAGAGAGACACUUCACCUGAAGAAGGACUGAAAAACCUAGGCAAGCAACCUCUGAUUAAAUUAUCUUUGGCAAGAAAGAAAAAAAUAGAGAGGAAGGAAGGAAGGAAGGAAGGA